rnacentral:snRNA from 1 species
GUGCUCACUUUGGCAGCACAUAUACUAAAAUUGGAACGAUACAGAGAUUAGCAUGGCCCCUGCACAAGGAUGACACGCAAAUUUGUGAAGCGUUCCAUAUUUUU